UACGGAGGGGGCAAACGUUAUCCGGAGUUACUGGGCGUAAAGGGCGUGUAGGCGGUCGACUAAGUCUGGCGUGAAAGCUCGCGGCUAAACCGCGAGAGGUCGUUGGAUACUGGUUGACUAGAGGACGGUAGAGGCGUGUGGAAUUCCGGGUGUAGUGGUGAAAUGCGUAGAGAUCCGGAGGAACACCAGUGGCGAAGGCGACACGCUGGGCCGUACCUGACGCUAAAACGCGACAGCAUGGGGAGCGAACGGG
rnacentral:rRNA from 1 species